rnacentral:rRNA from 1 species
GCAAGUCGAGCGGAAACGAUGGUAGCUUGCUACCAGGCGUCGAGCGGCGGACGGGUGAGUAAUACUUAGGAAUCUACCUAGUAGUGGGGGAUAGCACGGGGAAACUCGUAUUAAUACCGCAUACGACCUACGGGAGAAAGGGGGCAGUUUACUGCUCUCGCUAUUAGAUGAGCCUAAGUCGGAUUAGCUAGAUGGUGGGGUAAAGGCCUACCAUGGCGACGAUCUGUAGCUGGUCUGAGAGGAUGAUCAGCCACACCGGGACUGAGACACGGCCCGGACUCCUACGGGAGGCAGCAGUGGGGAAUAUUGGACAAUGGGGGAAACCCUGAUCCAGCCAUGCCGCGUGUGUGAAGAAGGCCUUUUGGUUGUAAAGCACUUUAAGCAGUGAAGAAGACUCUUCGGUUAAUACCCGGAGACGAUGACAUUAGCUGCAGAAUAAGCACCGGCUAACUCUGUGCCAGCAGCCGCGGUAAUACAGAGGGUGCAAGCGUUAAUCGGAAUUACUGGGCGUAAAGCGAGCGU